GAUGAACGCUAGCGGCAGGCCUAAUACAUGCAAGUCGAGGGGUAGAGAAGAGCUUGCUUUUCUUGAGACCGGCGCACGGGUGCGUAACGCGUAUGCAACCUACCUUUAUCAGGGGGAUGGCCUCUCGAAAGAGAGAUUAACACCGCAUAAAAACACAGUACGGCAUCGUACAAUGUUCAAAUAUUUAUAGGAUAAAGAGGGGCAUGAGUGACAUUAGCUAGUUGGUGAGGUAAGGGCUCACCAAGGCGACGAUGUCUAGGGGAUCUGAGAGGAUGACCCCCCACACUGGUACUGAGACACGGACCAGACUCCUACGGGAGGCAGCAGUAAGGAAUAUUGGUCAAUGGGGGCAACCCUGAACCAGCCAUGCCGCGUGCAGGAAGACGGCCCUACGGGUUGUAAACUGCUUUUAUACGGGAAUAAACCCCUUUACGUGUAAAGGGUUGAAUGUACUGUAAGAAUAAGGAUCGGCUAACUCCGUGCCAGCAGCCGCGGUAACAC
rnacentral:rRNA from 1 species